ensembl:snoRNA small nucleolar RNA SNORA14
AUGCAUUCUUCAAAACCCCCCAGAUGCUUUUCUUAGCUUUUGGGACAAGCAAGAAUGCCAGAUAAACCUCUAGAACUAUCCAAAGUUGAGAGCCGUGUCACGGUGGCUCUAGACUAUUUCACCUCUAGAACAUUAU